GGCCCUGCUCUGCAGGCCGCCAGCCUGGCUGUGCGACCCCCACCUGCUCCUGCCACUCGGGUGCUGCCUUCACCUGCCAGGCCCUUCCCCGCUAGCUUGGGGCGAGCAGAGGUAAGGUACAGGAACUGAGGGGCUAGGGAGCGCCAAGACUUAGGAGUAGGGAUUCUGUAUUUCAAGGUAGGCAGCUCGUGAUUUUUUUCCUCAGCUGCAUCCAGUGGAACUAAAGCCGUUCCAGGAUUAUCAAAAACUGAGCAGCAACCUUGGGGGACCUGGGUCAUCACGGACUCCCCCAACUGGAAGGUCCUUCUCUGGCCUCAAUUCCCGUCUCAAGGCCACGCCUUCCACCUACAGUGGAGUCUUCCGCACCCAGCGUGUUGACCUUUACCAGCAGGCCUCCCCACCAGAUGCCCUGCGCUGGAUACCUAAGCCUUGGGAGCGGACAGGGCCACCACCUCGAGAAGGGCCCUCCCGACGGGCAGAGGAGCCUGGGUCCCGAGGGGACAAGGAGCCUGGGUUGCCCCCACCCCGCUGAGGGAGUUCCUCUUGCCCCCUACCCCCGGGGCUUGUAUAUAGAUUAUAAAUAUAUAAGGGGGAAAAGGGUGGGUGGGGAGGGGCUGUGGGGCUGGGGCCUCACUUCCCCUCCUCCCCCUUCCCCUGGUCCCCUGUCCCUGGGGCUGUUUGUUAAAAAAGAGUAAUAAAAGGAUUUAAAAAAAAA
rnacentral:sRNA from 1 species